rnacentral:lncRNA from 1 species
UUUGAAAUUAGGAAAUCAUAUGGAAACAGCAGGAGGAUUCCCAGCCUUGCGCUAUUUCCUUCCCCUGUGAUCAUGAAGUUUUAUUGCUGCAUGAGCCCUGCUGCCUACCAUGUCAGAGGAGCUCAGCAAGAGCCAUGCCAGUACUGGUUCAAUCCAGCAGAGCUUUUACUGACAAAAGAAGAACUGUUUUCUGCCUCACACUCUCCUUAGUCCUGGCACCUCUGGGAGGUCUGUGUCCAUCCCUGCUGUGGCUGGGCACUCCAGAGCUGUUCACACACCCAAGUCUUUGUCUAACACCUCUGCAGUGGAAGCAGCGUGUGUUCUGGAGAGGAAGACAGAAUUCCCCCAAGCAGAGGCACUGCCGUCCUCCCAACAGACCUGCCACAACCAGAGGGGCAUUCAGAGCAUGAGCUCUCACAUAGAGCACACGCUGCAUCCUGGCUGCUUCACUGCCA